GCAGCCGAGCGGUAUUGUUUCUUCGGAAAUGAGAGAGCGGCGUACGGGUGCGGAACACGUGUGCAACCUGCCUUUAUCUGGGGGAUAGCCUUUCGAAAGGAAGAUUAAUACCCCAUAAUAUUUAGAAUGGCAUCAUUUUAAAUUGAAAACUCCGGUGGAUAGAGAUGGGCACGCGCAAGAUUAGAUAGUUGGUGAGGUAACGGCUCACCAAGUCAGCGAUCUUUAGGGGGCCUGAGAGGGUGAUCCCCCACACUGGUACUGAGACACGGACCAGACUCCUACGGGAGGCAGCAGUGAGGAAUAUUGGACAAUGGGUGCAAGCCUGAUCCAGCCAUCCCGCGUGAAGGAUGACGGCCCUAUGGGUUGUAAACUUCUUUUGUAUAGGGAUAAACCUACUCUCGUGAGAGUAGCUGAAGGUACUAUACGAAUAAGCACCGGCUAACUCCGUGCCAGCAGCCGCGGUAAUACGGAGGGUGCAAGCGUUAUCCGGAUUUAUUGGGUUUAAAGGGUCCGUAGGCGGAUCUGUAAGUCAGUGGUGAAAUCUCACAGCUUAACUGUGAAACUGCCAUUGAUACUGCAGGUCUUGAGUGUUGUUGAAGUAGCUGGAAUAAGUAGUGUAGCGGUGAAAUGCAUAGAUAUUACUUAGAACACCAAUUGCGAAGGCAGGUUACUAAGCAACAACUGACGCUGAUGGACGAAAGCGUGGGGAGCGAACAGGAUUAGAUACCCUGGUAGUCCACGCCGUAAACGAUGCUAACUCGUUUUUGGGCUUUCGGGUUCAGAGACUAAGCGAAAGUGAUAAGUUAGCCACCUGGGGAGUACGUUCGCAAGAAUGAAACUCAAAGGAAUUGACGGGGGCCCGCACAAGCGGUGGAUUAUGUGGUUUAAUUCGAUGAUACGCGAGGAACCUUACCAAGGCUUAAAUGGGAAUUGACCGGUUUAGAAAUAGACCUUCCUUCGGGCAAUUUUCAAGGUGCUGCAUGGUUGUCGUCAGCUCGUGCCGUGAGGUGUUAGGUUAAGUCCUGCAACGAGCGCAACCCCUGUCACUAGUUGCCAUCAUUAAGUUGGGGACUCUAGUGAGACUGCCUACGCAAGUAGAGAGGAAGGUGGGGAUGACGUCAAAUCAUCACGGCCCUUACGCCUUGGGCCACACACGUAAUACAAUGGCCGGUACAGAGGGCAGCUACACAGCGAUGUGAUGCAAAUCUCGAAAGCCGGUCUCAGUUCGGAUUGGAGUCUGCAACUCGACUCUAUGAAGCUGGAAUCGCUAGUAAUCGCGCAUCAGCCAUGGCGCGGUGAAUACGUUCCCGGGCCUUGUACACACCGCCCGUCAAGCCAUGGAAGUCUGGGGUACCUGAAGUCGGUGACCGUAACAGGAGC
rnacentral:rRNA from 1 species